rnacentral:rRNA from 1 species
AUGACACCUCCUGCUUCAGAAUGGAUUAAGGACAGCGGAUGCACUAAUCAUAUGACUGGUGAUCGAAGUCUUCUCAUGGACUCAACCUUACGUCCAUCCGACAAGAGUCAAAUCACAUUUGCUGACACUGGUAAAGGCAAGGUAUUGGGUCUAGGUAGAGUUGCAAUCUCAAAGGAUCAACACAUGGAUAAAGUGAUGCUUGUUGAAUCCCUUGGAUUCAACUUAAUGUCUGUCUCAAUGCUUUGUGACUUAAACAUGAUUGUGAUAUUCAAAAAAUAUCGUUGCCUUGUACUAAUGGAAUCUGACAAGCCUCUAGUCUUCGAAGGGUAUAGGAAAGGUGAUCUAUACAUGGUAGAUUUCUCAGCAGGUCCACAGCUUGCCGUAUGUCUUCUUGCAAAAGCUUUAGAAUGCUGGCUCUGGCAUCGAAGGCUGGGGCAUGCUGGCAUGAGGAACUUACACACACUCGUCAAGAAGAAGCAUGUCAUAGGCAUCAAAGGUGUCAAGUUCAAGAAAGAUCAUUUGUGUGGUGCCUGCGAAGCUGGAAAGAUGACGAGGGCCAAGCACCCCUCAAAGACAAUCAUGACGACAUCUCAACCCUUCGAGCUGUUGCACAUGGACUUAUUUGGCCCUACUCACUACUCUACCUCACAACAACAUCGUGUCUCUAUGGCUUCGUCAUUGUUGAUGACUACUCAAGAUAUACAUAGGUACACAUAA